rnacentral:rRNA from 1 species
CCAGCACCUGCGGUAAUUCCAGCUCCAAUAGCGUAUAUUAAAGUUGUUGCAGUUAAAAAGCUCGUAGUUGGAUUUGUGGUAUCACACAAGAUCUAAUUUUAGUGUCCUGCAGUGUUGCCAUCUUUGGGUGGAAUCUGUGUGGCAUUAGGUUGUCGUACAGGGGAUUCCCAUCGUUUACUGUGAAAAAAUUAGAGUGUUCAAAGCAGGCUUAUGCCGUUGAAUAUAUUAGCAUGGAAUAAUGAGAUAGGACCUGGGUACUAUUUUGUUGGUUUGCGCACCUAGGUAAUGAUUAAUAGGGACAGUUGGGGGUAUUCGUAUUCCAUUGUCAGAGGUGAAAUUCUUGGAUUUUUGGAAGACGAACUACUGCGAAAGCAUUUACCAAGGAUGUUUUCAUUAAUCA